rnacentral:rRNA from 1 species
GUGCCAGCCGCCGCGGUAAUACGGAGGGUGCGAGCGUUGUCCGGAAUCACUGGGCGUAAAGGGCGCGUAGGCGGCGCGGGAAGUCCGUGGUGAAAGCCCGAGGCUCAACUUCGGGUCGGCCAUGGAUACUCCUGGGCUCGAGCACUGUAGAGGCAGGUGGAAUUCCGGGUGUAGCGGUGGAAUGCGUAGAGAUCCGGAAGAACACCGGUGGCGAAGGCGGCCUGCUGGGCAGUAGCUGACGCUGAGGCGCGACAGCGUGGGGAGCAAACAGGAUUAGAUACCCCUGUAGUCC